CUCGCCUGAAGAUGAGGAUUCCCUGGAGCCUUGAGCUCCUUGAAGGGUCGUUCGAGACCAGGACGUUGAUAGGCUGGGUGUGGAAGCGCAGUAAUGCGUUAAGCUAACCAGUACUAAUUGCCCGUAAGGCUUGAUCCUAUAACCAGUGUGUUUC
rnacentral:rRNA from 1 species